GACGAACGCUGGCGGCGUGCUUAACACAUGCAAGUCGAACGGAAAGGCCCUGCUUUUGUGGGGUGCUCGAGUGGCGAACGGGUGAGUAACACGUGAGUAACCUGCCCUUGACUUUGGGAUAACUUCAGGAAACUGGGGCUAAUACCGGAUAGGAGCUCCUGCUGCAUGGUGGGGGUUGGAAAGUUUCGGCGGUUGGGGAUGGACUCGCGGCUUAUCAGCUUGUUGGUGGGGUAGUGGCUUACCAAGGCUUUGACGGGUAGCCGGCCUGAGAGGGUGACCGGCCACAUUGGGACUGAGAUACGCCGCAGACUCCUACGGGAGGCAGCAGUGGGGAAUAUUGCACAGUGGGCGGGAGCCUGAUGCAGCGACGCCGCGGGCGGGAUGACGGCCUUCGGGUUGUAAACCGCUUUCGCCUGUGACGAAGCGUGAGUGACGGUAAUGGGUAAAGAAGCACCGGCUAACUACGUG
rnacentral:rRNA from 1 species